rnacentral:lncRNA from 1 species
GCCUCCUCCGAGCUCCUAGGCAGCGGGUCCCAGGAGAGCUCUCAGUGGUGUCAGUUGCGGCUGGGAACGCCCAUUUCGUGGGCUCCUGGAUCCCCCUGGAUUGGUAUCCAGUGAGCGAAGCGGAGGGGUGAGGGCCACAGGACUGUCAGGGUGUAGGCUUGUGGAUAAUGGGACUGCAUCCAGGCUGAGGGGAACGGGGUUGCCUCAGAACCCACCAGCAAGGAGGCGCUGCAAGAGGGAAAAAUGAGGAUGAAGUAGACGUUUCCUGUGUCCAGCUGAGUGAUGACCGGAGGUCCAUCUCAGAGGACUCUGGAGGGAAAGAGCUCCAUGUGCAAAAAGGUGGGUUUUUA